UACGGAGGUGGCAAGCGUUGCUCGGAAUCACUGGGCGUAAAGGGCGCGUAGGCGGGGAGGUAAGUCGGGUGUGAAAUCCCUCGGCCCAACCGAGGAACUGCGCCCGAGACUGCUUCUCUUGAGUCCCGGAGAGGAAGAUGGAAUUCCAGGUGUAGCGGUGAAAUGCGUAGAUAUCUGGAGGAACACCGGUGGCGAAGGCGGCAUCCUGGACCAACAUUGACGCUGAGGAGCGAAAGCCAGGGGAGCAAACGGG
rnacentral:rRNA from 1 species